UUAACCAAAACCAAAAGAGAGGUAUAUUAUUGUUAAUAAUAGGAUUGAAAAAUAUUUUUCUGGUUAAG
rnacentral:tRNA from 1 species